GUCAAUGCUUGUUGAUUACCUCAUUUCAUUUCCAUUAAUGCACUUUAUUAUUCAUCUUCUUCUUCUUCUUCUUCUUCUUCUUCUUCUUCUUCUUCUUCUUUUUUGAUCAAUGACUUAAAGAUUGGUGGUUAGCCUUGAUACAUGGGAGGUUUAACCUUCUUUGAUUCAAAUCUAAUUCAACUUGAGCAUGGAUCAAGUGAAUGGCUUUGCAUUAAGGAUAGGUUGCUUCCUAAUCAAGCCAAGAACCUAAAUCAAUACAAGAUCAUUUCUC
rnacentral:lncRNA from 1 species